rnacentral:rRNA from 1 species
CCUACGGGAGGCAGCAGUGAGGAAUCUUGGUCAAUGGACGCAAGUCUGAACCAGCCAUGCCGCGUGCAGGAAGACGGCUCUAUGAGUUGUAAACUGCUUUUGUACGAGGGUAAACGCAGAUACGCGUAUCUGUCUGAAAGUAUCGUACGAAUAAGGAGCGGCUAACUCCGUGCCAGCAGCCGCGGGAAUACGGAGGCGUCAAGCGUUAUCCGGAUUUAUUGGGUUUAAAGGGUGCGUAGGCGGUCGGAUAAGUUAGAGGUGAAAUCCCGGGGCUCAACUUCGGAAUUGCAUCUGAUACUGUUCGACUAGAGAGUAGUUGCGGUAGGCGGAAUGUAUGGUGUAGCAGUGAAAUGCUUAGAGAUCAUACAGAACACCGAUUGCGAAGGCAGCUUACCAGGCUACUUCUGACGUUGAGGCACGAAGGCGUGGGGAGCGAACAGGAUUAGAUACCCGAGUAGUC